rnacentral:rRNA from 1 species
UACGGAGGAUGCAAGCGUUAUCCGGAUUUAUUGGGUUUAAAGGGUGCGUAGGCUGUCUGUCAAGUCAGGGGUGAAAUACCGGGGCCCAACUCCGGAACUGCCUUUGAUACUGGCAGGCUGGAAUACUGCUGCCGUGGGAGGAAUUAGUAGCGUAGCGGUGAAAUGCAUAGAUAUUACUCAGAACGCCGAUUGCGAAGGCAUCUCACGAAACAGUUAUUGACGCUGAGGCACGAAAGCCAGGGGAGCGAAC